rnacentral:rRNA from 1 species
AGAGUUUGAUUAUGGCUCAGGAUGAACGCUGGCGGCGCGCUUAACACAUGCAAGUCGAACGGUUAAAGCACCUCCGGGUGUGCAUAAAGUGGCGAACGGCUGAGUAACACGUGGGCAACCUGCCCCCCGCACCGGGAUAGCCUCGGGAAACCGUGGGUAAUACCGGAUACUCCGCCACCCCCGCAUGGGGGAGGCGGGAAAGCGUACACGGCGGGGGAUGGGCCCGCGGCCUGUUAGCUCGUUGGCGGGGUAACGGCCCACCAAGGCGAUUAUGGGUAGCCGGGUUGAGAGACCGACCGGCCAGAUUGGGACUGAGACACGGCCCAGACUCCUACGGGAGGCAGCAGUGGGGAAUCUUGCACAAUGGGCGAAAGCCUGAUGCAGCCGACGCCGCGUGCGGGAUGAAGGCCCUCGGGUUGUAAACCGCUUUCAGCAGGGACGAGGCGCAAGUGACGGUACCUGCAGAAGAAGCCCCGGCUAACUACGUGCCAGCCGCUGC